rnacentral:rRNA from 1 species
UCCGUAGGCGGGCGAUUAAGUCAGAGGUGAAAUCCCACAGCUCAACUGUGGAACUGCCUUUGAUACUGGUUGUCUUGAGUUACAGUGAAGUAGAUAGAAUAUGUAGUGUAGCGGUGAAAUGCAUAGAUAAUACAUAGAAUACCGAUUGCGAAGGCAGUCUACUAACUGUUAACUGACGCUAAGGGACGAAAGCGUGGGGAGCGAACAGGAUUAGAUACCCUGGUAGUCC